rnacentral:misc_RNA from 1 species
UCGUAACAAGGUUUCCGUAGGUGAACCUGCGGAAGGAUCAUUACAGAGUUCAUGCCCGAAAGGGUAGACCUCCCACCCUUGUGUAUUAUUACUUUGUUGCUUUGGCGAGCUGCCUUCGGGCCUUGUAUGCUCGCCAGAGAAUACCAAAACUCUUUUUAUUAAUGUCGUCUGAGUACUAUAUAAUAGUUAAAACUUUCAACAACGGAUCUCUUGGUUCUGGCAUCGAUGAAGAACGCAGCGAAAUGCGAUAAGUAAUGUGAAUUGCAGAAUUCAGUGAAUCAUCGAAUCUUUGAACGCACAUUGCGCCCCUUGGUAUUCCGGGGGGCAUGCCUGUUCGAGCGUCAUUUCAACCCUCAAGCUUAGCUUGGUAUUGAGUCUAUGUCAGUAAUGGCAGGCUCUAAAAUCAGUGGCGGCGCCGCUGGGUCCUGAACGUAGUAAUAUCUCUCGUUACAGGUUCUCGGUGUGCUUCUGCCAAAACCCAAAUUUUUCUAUGGUUGACCUCGGAUCAGGUAGGGAUACCCGCUGAACUUAAGCAUAUCAA